UGGAGGGUUGGCCGAGUGGUCUAAGGCGGCAGACUUAAGAUCUGUUGGACGGUUGUCCGCGCGAGUUCGAAACCUCGCAUCCUUCACCA
rnacentral:tRNA from 1 species